GGCGCGAGCAGGUGCGAAAGCAGGUCAUAGUGAUCCGGUGGUUCUGAAUGGAAGGGCCAUCGCUCAACGGAUAAAAGGUACUCCGGGGAUAACAGGCUGAUACCGCCCAAGAGUUCAUAUCGACGGCGGUGUUUGGCACCUCGAUGUCGGCUCAUCACAUCCUGGGGCUGAAGUAGGUCCCAAGGGUAUGGCUGUUCGCCAUUUAAAGUGGUACGCGAGCUGGGUUUAGAACGUCGUGAGACAGUUCGGUCCCUAUCUGCCGUGGGCGCUGGAGAACUGAGGGGGGCUGCUCCUAGUACGAGAGGACCGGAGUGGACGCAUCACUGGUGUUCGGGUUGUCAUGCCAAUGGCACUGCCCGGUAGCUAAAUGCGGAAGAGAUAAGUGCUGAAAGCAUCUAAGCACGAAACUUGCCCCGAGAUGAGUUCUCCCUGACCCUUUAAGGGUCCUGAAGGAACGUUGAAGACGACGACGUUGAUAGGCCGGGUGUGUAAGCGCAGCGAUGCGUUGAGCUAACCGGUACUAAUGAACCGU
rnacentral:rRNA from 1 species